UCGGCUCUCUGCUCCUCCGAGCCUCCCCCCCGCACUGAAGGAAUCUGCGCUGGGGCUUGAACACUGGCUAAGUUACCUCCCAGAGACGGUGUGAGGGACUCGGGCUGCUCAACCUGCUGCUGCUGUUAUUUCUCGCUUUUUGUUGUCCACCCAAUUAAAGAGCUCUCUGUCACUUUGUGAAGAGUGAAGGAUACCUGUAAAGCUUGCAGAAGAGUGUGUUGGAGAACCACCAUUUUGGUGGUAGAGUGACUAAUCCCAGAUUAACCAUCGGCUAUUCUGGAAACAUUCAUUUUCUACCAGACCCAGAAUAAUGGAUAUAAAAGACAGAAGACAUCGGUCUUUGACAAGAGGUCGGUGUGGGA